GUUUCACGGGGUGCCUUUCUUCUUGGCACAGAAAGGGACACCGUGCGGCAGUAGUCUGCUCCGCUAGACUACCUUCCGCCUUUUCUCGGUCGCGUCGGGACGAAAGAAAAUUUGAUUGCAAUUUUGUAGAGAGCUUACAAUUGAGAAUUUGAAUACAUUGAAAGUAAAUUGAACAUUGAUUGCUGAAAAUUGAACAUUACAAUUGAUGAAAGCAGAAAAUUACAAAUGCUGGUGCAGGGGGCGGACACCAGUGAGCUUGAAAGAUUUUUGAAUGACUAAUACCCCCUAUAAUAGCAUUCUGAACAAAAACCCAAGUGACGGGAGUAGACGUUUAAAAGGCGAGGAAUCAUACUAAUCUUUUAC
rnacentral:lncRNA from 1 species